UACGUAGGGUGCGAGCGUUGUCCGGAAUUAUUGGGCGUAAAGAGCUCGUAGGCGGUCUGUCGCGUCGGUCGUGAAAACUUGGGGCUUAACCCUGAGCUUGCGGUCGAUACGGGCAUGACUGGAGUUCGGCAGGGGAGACUGGAAUUCCUGGUGUAGCGGUGAAAUGCGCAGAUAUCAGGAGGAACACCGGUGGCGAAGGCGGGUCUCUGGGCCAUUCCUGACGCUGAGACGCGAAAGCUAGGGGAGCGAACAGG
rnacentral:rRNA from 1 species